UUUGAAAUCUGGCGUCUUUGGCGUCCGAGUUGUAAUUUGAAGAAGGUAUCUUUGGGCCCGGCUCUUGUCUAUGUUCCUUGGAACAGGACGUCACAGAGGGUGAGAAUCCCGUGCGAUGAGAUGACCCGGGUCUGUGUAAAGUUCCUUCGACGAGUCGAGUUGUUUGGGAAUUGCAGCUCUAAGUGGGUGGUAAAUUCCAUCUAAAGCUAAAUAUUGGCGAGAGACCGAUAGCGAACAAGUACAGUGAUGGAAAGAUGAAAAGAACUUUGAAAAGAGAGUGAAAAAGUACGUGAAAUUGUUGAAAGGGAAGGGCUUGAGAUCAGACUUGGUAUUUUGCAUGCUGCUCUCUCGGGGGCGGCCGCUGCGGUUUACCGGGCCAGCAUCGGUUUGGAGCGGCAGGAUAAUGGCGGAGGAAUGUGGCACGGCUUCUGCUGUGUGUUAUAGCCUCUGACGAUGCUGCCAGCCUAGACCGAGGACUGCGGUUUUUAACCUAGGAUGUUGGCAUAAUGAUCUUAAGUCGCCCGUCUUGAAACACGGACCAAGGAGUCUAACGUCUAUGCGAGUGUUUGGGUGUAAAACCCGUACGCGUAAUGAAAGUGAACGAAGGUGGGGGCCCAUUAGGGUGCACCAUCGACCGAUCCUGAUGUGUUCGGAUGGAUUUGAGUAAGAGCAUAGCUGUUGGGACCCGAAAGAUGGUGAACUAUGCCUGAAUAGGGUGAAGCCAGAGGAAACUCUGGUGGAGGCUCGUAGCGGUUCUGACGU
rnacentral:rRNA from 1 species